AGAUUUGGACGAAAUUGAGGAUGGAGUUAAAUCUUUAAAUAGGAGGUGUUAAAAAUAGAAAAGGGGGACGGAAAUUUGAAGGAAGAGGAAGGACUCGGCUAAGGCUUGCAAGUGUUGAGAGAAAAACUAAGAGGAAAUCAAGGUACGUGGAUAUAGCCAAUCCUUUUACUAGAAUAAUUUACAUAGUAUGAAGUGUUGUUAUUAAAAAUGAAAUGAAAUGAAAUGAUGUAAGGAUAUGAAUUAUUUUUUGUUUACGUAUUGUAUCCCCCAUUGGGUGAUUAGAGGCCUAGUUUCGUACAGCAAAGUUGUUAUUCGAUUGUUUUUUAUUCAAGGGAAGUUAAGUUUUUCUUUUUUUUCUUCUCUGUUUUCUCAAUGCUCCUACAUGUUCUUGCUGGAUAACAAAACAAAUUAAGGUUAUUCCUUGAUGGUUUAAAUAACAUUCCAGAUCUUCCUCCAUUUUUGAGUUACUCUGUUUUCUGGGUUUUUUUAUUCUGUUUUUCUGUUUUGAUAUUUCAGUAUUUUUGCUAGGUAAUAGAGGAAAUGAAUUUCUUGUCCUUGUGGUUUAAAUGAUAUCUUAGGUUUUUGUCAUUCCUUGAGUUUGUUGGUUUCUAAUUUUAUGUUCUUUAAUUUAUUUCACUGGACAGCAAAAAAUUCUUAUGAACACGGGACUAUAAUCGUGGACUGAGCUCCACAAGGUUCCAAGUUCAGGAUUUGCGCUCCCCUAGGACUAAAAACUCAUGCUUAAACCUUAGACACCCAAAUGGGGACACCCACAUGGUCGAUUUUAACCAAUAAAAUCAAAAGAUGGGUCUGAAUAUUUGUGUUGAUUGUCUGAGGUUAAACCUCAAUUCUAUAGACCUACCGUCUAUUCUAGGGUGGUGGUCGAGUAAUUUAAAGGUCUGCGUUUAGUUUUCAAGGUUUGAAUUAAACGAACGAGAGGGAAAUUAAACUCAAACCUAGUUGAUUUUAAAAGUUUGAUUUUUUUUAACAAAUGCAAAACGUUUAAUUACUCGAGGAUUUAAAUGAGAUUUCAGGUUUUAUUUUAUUUUGAGUUUUCUUUGGAUUUAAUAACGAAAAGUGUAAAGGGAAAUCAAUGAAACCUAAAGAAUCCUAACCCUAAAUUCGGAUGAAUUUAGGAAUAGAUAAUGAAAGGGGCGGGUCGAGGCAACCCUCGGAAUGGCACUCGACCUGAACCAUUCCCAUCCACCAUCGGGUUAAAUCCUAAAGGAACUCAAACCUUGAAAUUAGGGAUUUAGAGGUGAACGACGAAAGGAGAAGAUCGAGCAAAUCCCCAGGGUGACACUCAAUCCAUCCUUCUCUCUAUUCACUGAAGAUCCACCAAGGUUACGGACCAAGAUUUGGAUUGAGUGGAUCAUUCAAUCUCACCUCUCACUCAUGUCUAAUCAUACGAAAUUACGGAUCCUUAGGGAUUUGACGACACAUGAAAUGAACGGAACUUAACAGGCCUGACGAGGCUACAUGACUCGACGGGGUUUGACGGCUUGCUGGUGAGAGUUUACUCAAUGACCCAUGUAAAGGAAAAAGGGAGGGGGGUUCUUAAGAACCUCUAUUGGUAACCAAGGAGGGAUGAUACGCCCCAAAAGAAAUUCAUGAAUGAUUAGAUUUAUUAUAUAUUCACGUACUAAGUUUUUGAAACUUAUCCAUGUAAAUGACAUUUUAUUGCAGAAUAAGGGACGUUUUGGAAUGGACUGGACAGAGGGUUUCAUACAUGAAUGGGAUCCUAAGAUAUUAGUUAAAUAAAGGGUCUAUUUGAUUUCCGCUAGUACUUUGAUUUUUGUUGUGUACGCCCAUUCGAGAAUAUGAAUCUUGGUUGUUUGUUUAGAUAAAUUGGGAAUAACCCUAUUUAAAUUAAAAAAAUUCAGUUUAUUACAGAAGUGCUACCUAUAUCUGAUUUUAAAUGAUUUUGUACGUACCCGAGCAAUAAUUUCGUCUGAAUCACCAAUUUUAACAGAAUAUGUUCCAGCACGGUUCACAUGUUUGAUCAAAAAAUCGUAUUUUUCCUCUUCAGUGUUUCUUGCUAAAAAUAUUUUGUAUUUGUUUGUGAACUAGAUCAUAUU
rnacentral:lncRNA from 1 species